rnacentral:rRNA from 1 species
GACGAACGCUGGCGGCGUGCCUAAUACAUGCAAGUCGAGCGAAUCGAUGGGAGCUUGCUCCCUGAGAUUAGCGGCGGACGGGUGAGUAACACGUGGGUAACCUGCCUGUAAGACUGGGAUAACUUCGGGAAACCGGAGCUAAUACCGGAUACUUUCUUUUCUCGCAUGAGGGAAGAUGGAAAGAUGGUUCUGCUAUCACUUACAGAUGGACCCGCGGCGCAUUAGCUAGUUGGUGAGGUAACGGCUCACCAAGGCGACGAUGCGUAGCCGACCUGAGAGGGUGAUCGGCCACACUGGGACUGAGACACGGCCCAGACUCCUACGGGAGGCAGCAGUAGGGAAUCUUCCGCAAUGGACGAAAGUCUGACGGAGCAACGCCGCGUGAGCGAAGAAGGCCUUCGGGUCGUAAAGCUCUGUUGUUAGGGAAGAACAAGUAUCGGAGUAACUGCCGGUACCUUGACGGUACCUAACCAGAAAGCCACGGCUAACUACGUGCCAGCCGCCGCCGUAA